rnacentral:lncRNA from 1 species
UUAUUAUAAAAGAUAAGUUAACCUUCUUUUUAUUUAGACAGAAAAGAGGAGAUGAUGGGGGAAAUACUUCUGUGUAUGUUUAUAAAUAAAGUACUUGCUUGGCCAAUGAGACAGCAGGUUAGGCUGGACUAAGAGUCAAAGAGGAUUCUGGGAAAUGUAGUAUAGAAAUGGUGUCCUAGACAGGAAGUGACAUAGCCAGAAGACUCAUAUUUAAGAAGAGGAAAAAGGAAGUGUCGCUCUCUCUUUCCCCUCGGCUCCUGCUCCAGCGGCACGAUGUGAUUCACCAGCAAGGAGGGAUGCCAAUAAGGCGUCCGAUAAGGUUCUCUUCUGAGUGCUCCAAACUGAAAUAGAGCUGGGCUGGCGAGUACUCAAGAAGAGGGAAGAGUCAAAGAUACCUGUGAAUGACAAAAUUAACCUGAAGGAGAGGAAAUGGCAUAAGAAAGCUAAUCAUCUAGAACUAGAAGAAACCAUCCUGAGUGAGGUCCAUUCGGCUGAAGUCCCUGAAUCUGCCAGGAAUAGGCCUCCACCUUGCCAGCCUGAAAGGGCAUUUUAUCUCAACAACAGGAAAAGAUGCUAAGAUAGGAAAUGACAUAUCCAACUUCUGGUCACCUGCUAAAACAGCCUCGGAGAUGUGGUUCUGAUGUUAGCCCAGGAAGAAUGAAGAAUUAGCUUAACAAACAGCUAUUCUCUGUUGCUGCAUCCUAAUUCCUCAU